AAUCUGUAACCGCCGGGUUUGCGUCUUAUCCUCACUCCGUUAGGCCAUAGAAGGAGUGGAGACAAGACGUUUUUAUUU
rnacentral:ncRNA from 1 species